rnacentral:rRNA from 1 species
UACGGGGGGGGCAAGCGUUGUUCGGAAUUACUGGGCGUAAAGGGCUCGUAGGUGGCCAACUAAGUCAGACGUGAAAUCCCUCGGCUUAACCGGGGAACUGCGUCUGAUACUGGUUGGCUUGAGUUUGGGAGAGGGAUGUAGAAUUCCAGGUGUAGCGGUGAAAUGCGUAGAUAUCUGGAGGAAUACCGGUGGCGAAGGCGGCAUCCUGGACCAACACUGACGCUGAGGCGCGAAAGCUAGGGGAGCAAACGGG